CUAUCAAUAAGCAGUGGGAACGCAAGUUGCAUUG
rnacentral:rRNA from 1 species